CGCAGCUGAUGCAGCAACGCCGCGUGCGGGAUGACGGCCCUAGGGUUGUAAACCGCUUUCAGCAGGGAAGAAACUGACGGUACCUGCAGAAGAAGGUGCGGCCAACUACGUGCCAGCAGCCGCGGUGACACGUAGGCACCAAGCGUUAUCCGGAUUUAUUGGGCGUAAAGAGCUCGUAGUGCGGUUUAGUAAGUCUGGUGUGAAAACUCUGGGCUUAACCCAGAGAGGCCACCCGAUACUGCUAUGACUUGAUGCUACGGGAGGGGAGCGGGGAAUUCCUGGUGUAGCGGUGAAAUGCGCAGAUAUCAGCGAAGCAACACCCUGUGGCGAAGGCGCCGCUCUGAGGCCGAAUACUGACGCUAGAGGAGCGAAAGCGUGGGUAGCAAACAGGAUUAGAUACCCUGGUAGUCCACGCCGUAAACGUUGGGCACUAGGUGUGGGUCUUUACUAACGAAAUCCGCGCCGUAGCUAACGCAUUAAGUGCCCCGCCUGGGGAGUACGGUCGCAAGACUAAAACUCAGAUGAAAUUGACGGAA
rnacentral:rRNA from 1 species